rnacentral:rRNA from 1 species
UACGGGGGGGGCAAGCGUUGUUCGGAAUUACUGGGCGUAAAGGGCUCGUAGGCGGCCAACUAAGUCGGAUGUGAAAUCCCCAAGCUUAACUUGGGAACUGCAUCCGAUACUGGAUGGCUUGAAUCCGGGAGAGGGAUGCAGAAUUCCUGGUGUAGCGGUGAAAUGCGUAGAGAUCAGGAGGAACACCCAUGGCGAAGGCAGCUCUCUGGUCGACCUCUGACGCUGAGACGCGAAAGCGUGGGGAGCGAACGGG